rnacentral:lncRNA from 1 species
CACAUUUUAUCUCAUAUUUCAUCAAUCACCCUAGCCGCCGCCGGCGGAUCUAGGUGACGGGUGACUAGAUUGUUCCGGAAUCGCCAGAAUGUUGCAGAGCAGAAUGCAACUGCCCUAACUUGAUUCACCGAUCGCUGAAGGAAGAGAGCAGAGAAAUUUGCAAACAGAGUCACAGAGACGCAUGGGAAGAAAGAAGAAGAGGAAGAGAGGAUUUGGGCUGGCUAUGAUGACUUGGGCAGUCAAGCUUAGAGCCAGUAGGCAGGCCUUUUUUUUCUUUUUUUUUUCCUUUUUUUUUGUAAAUUGGGCAGGCCCAAAUCAAUGAAAAUGAAAUCAUUUAUAUGGAUUAUGUCUCAUAUGAAUCACUUUCCCCCAAUUCUUUCCCGUCAAACCGGCAGCAGAGAAAAGAGCAAACCCUUCUUGAGUUCUUUCCCCCAAUUCCUUCUCGUCAAAUCGGUCACCUGAGUUAACUGAUUGAGCAUUUGAGCUAGUAGAGGCAUGAACGGUGAACGUAAACCCACUGGUGCGAAGUGCGAGUUGGGAGGAAAGAAGGAAGCAAGAGUGCAAAGAGAUAAUAAGCUGCGUUGAUCGCUUCGGGUGAGUGCGUUUUAUAUGUAGAUUUGCCUAUAUUUUGAUGCAAAUUUAAAUGAAAUUAUGUCAUAAUACUCAAGUUAUUUUAUUUAGAAGUAAAAUUUAAAAGUUCGAUGUAAAUGCAUGCUUGUAAACGUAGGAAAACACGUUUAUAAGGUCUUAAUUCUAUCCAAAAAAGACCACAAAAUUGCUGAUGAAUGAAUUUGGAUUUGUAGUACUAAUUUUUAAUUCUUUUUUCCUAGUUCUACAUUUUAUCUUUUGAUUGUUUGGAUCUGUAAAAUGAUUAGAAUAUGUAUAUUAAGAAGAAGAAUCCAUGUGAUAGAUGUGAAUUUGGGAUAGAAAAUGAAUGGAUAAAACUUAAAUUGAAUGGAUUGAUAUUUAAGAAGUUGCUUCAGAUUGGAGUUUGAAGGAGCCAUUUCAUGCCGCCACUCUUUCAUUUGGAUGGAUAAACAUUAAUGUGAGAUAGGUAGUGUUGGGUUGAAGUUUUAACAAAAUUAUAUGAUGGCUUGUUUGACUAUUUUUUUAUUCUAAAACUUAUCAACUUUUUCAUUAAUCAAGUUUUAAUUUUAACCACAUGUUUCACAAAAUUCGCAACUUUUAAAUUAUACCUUACUUGCACAUUAAUUGGUGUGUGGAAGGUUGAAUCUAACUAGAAGGUAUAGGUCUAAUGCUUCAAAUAGGUGAAGGUCCCUAUAAUAUUAACACUGUAAAUAUUAUCAUUUAGAAAACAUUUGUUCCAUCUAAAAUUGGAAACCCCCAAAAUCUCAACGUUGGACAUAGUAUCUAAUAAUAAUUAACAAAAUGGAUAUUCAAGAAGUUGCUUCAAAUUGGAUGAUCCAACCUUGCGCAUUUUAUUUACUCUAGGAAUACAUCAAAGGAAGUUGCAUUAAUUAAUAAAUUAAAAAUGCCACUUUUACACUUGAUAUUAGUUUCAAAGGAAUUAUUUAGUGUUUGAUGUCAAAAUCCCUUGUAGAAGUGGUUAGAAAUCAAAUUGCAUAUGAAAAUGGAUACUAUUUAACCGUGCAACUAGACACCUCAAAGUUAGAUGACUAUCCAUGCUAAAAAUGUUCGGUGACUGACAUUUUUAAGUUUGGUAACAACUUGAGUACAAAUCCACACAUUUUCUAGAUUUCUUGUUAAGCUUUUAUUUGAUGGGGAUUAAAAUCAGAUUUUUAGUAGAUUGUGAUAAAAGUUAACGAAAUGAGUGGUUGAUUACUUGAUGUGUCUUGUUUGUUGAAUUGUUGAUUUGUCUAGAUAUGCUCAAUCCAAACUCGAAUGUUGAAUUGUUGAUUUUUAGAUCAAUUCUAAUUGAAAAUUGAAUUGGGACAUUUUGCAAAUUAUGGAACGAUUUUUUCAAUCGAAACGAAGGUCUAUACCCAGCUCUCCUAAUUCUACUUGUGCUUCUAGUCCCGCUAUUGCUUCUAGCCGAGCACACGAGUUGUUAAAUAACAUAAAGAGUCUCAAGCUCAAUUCAAUGUUGAUGAUCUUGUAUCUGAUCCAAGAAAAUGCCCCCUAUCGAGUCAAAUGAUCCUAAUAUCAAAGAUGAUGUUAGGAUGGCAUACUUGGAAAAAAGGUCCUUGUCAACCACAUGGACAUGACUUUCCAAGAAGACGGAUAUGAAAUGAUAAUAGGUAUUCUCAUAAAGAAUGGUAUUCUGAAUUUUAUUGGUUGGAGUGCAGUAUAGAAAAUGAUGCGACUUAUUGUUUGCAUUGCUACUUAUUCAAACUUGAUAGAGGGGGUCAAGGGGGUGGACAUAUAUUCACUAAGAGCGGCUUUAGGGAUUGGAAGCACAAAAAUAUAUCGAAAGAUCAUGUCAGGCUUGUUGAUAGUGCUCAUAAUCAAACUUUUGCAAAGUGUACCAACUUGAUGAAUCAAAAGCAAAGUAUCUCCUAUGUUAUUUCUAGAUAAAGUAGUAGUCAACAAAAAAGUUAUAGGACAAGAUUGACUGCGGUGCUAGAUUGUACUAGUUUUCUCUUGUUGUAAGGAUUGCCAUUUCGUGGUUAUGAUGAAUCGAAAGAGUCUUCUAAUAAAAGAAAUAUAAUUGAGCUACUAAAUUGGUAUGGAGCUCGUAGUAAGAAAAUUAAUAAAGUAGUACUUAGUAAUGCUCCUGGAAAUGACCAAAUGACUUCACCAAGUAUCCAUAAGAAUUUAGUUAAUUGUUGUGCUGUAGAGACAAUAAAGUCUAUUAUCAAUGAGAUGGGUGAUUCUUUGUUUUCAAUUUUGGUUGUUAAGGCUCGUGAUAAUUCUAUAAAAGAACAAAUGGAAGUUGUUCCGAGGUUUGUUUACAAAAGUAGGCAAGUGAAGGAGCGUUUCCCAUAUCACUGAUACUUGUGCCAAUCACACAAGUAUGCCAUUGAUGUAAUAUUUUCUACACAUGGGUUGAGCAUAUUUAGCCUCAGAGGUCAAGGUUACAAUGGAGCAAGCAAUAUGUCAAUGAGUUCAAUGGCUUGGAAGCUUUAAUUUAAAGAGAGGGCCUAUAUGCUAUGUAUGUUCAUUGCUUUGCUUACCAGCUUCAGUUGGAAGUUGUUUCUGUGGCAUGUAGAAAUCUUAUGCUUGGUAAUUUAUUUAACAUGUUUGUUGUUAUUGUGAAUUUGGUUGGUGUAUCAUAUAAACGUAUAGAUGCUCUUCGAGUAAGUUAUAAUUCUGAAAUUCUAGAGAGGCUUAAUAUUGGGGAACUUUCUGGUGGAACUGGUCAGUUUCAAGAAAUGAGUUUGGCACACCUAGGUGAUACUAGAUGGGGCUCACAUCUAACAACAAUUACUUGCUUUAUUAGUAUGUUUAAUGCAAUCAUAGAUGUUCUUAAGAAUAUAUUAGAAGAUGUCAUAAGUUUAGAUAAAAAAUCAAUGGUUGUAAGACAGAUGGACACUAUGCAAGAUUUUCAGUUUGUGUUCAGUCUUCAUUUUAUGUUUGAAAUUCUUGCAAUUACAGACAACAUUUAUAGAUAAAGGAUUAGGAUAUUCAGAAUGCUAUGAGGUUAUUAAAGUUGUGUAAGUACGCAUUGCAGAACAUGAGUGACAAUAGUUGGGAUACUUUGCUGAGUAAGGUGAUUGAGUUUUGUGUUGAUGACAUAUUUCAGUGCCCAACAUGGAGGAUAUUGUAGUAUUAAAAGGUCAACCUAGGCGUGCAGCUCAACAAGUGACAUAUUAUCAUUGCUUUUAUGUUUAUUUGUAUUGUCAUGUGAUAGUUUCAAUCUUGCAAGAGUUGAAUGAUCGUUUUCCAAAAAAAAAACUACUGAGCUUUUUACUUGCAUUUCGUGUUUAAGUCCAAGAGAUUCAUUUUCGGCUUUUGAUGUAUGUAAAGUGGUACGUCUUACUCAGUUAUAUCCUUUGGAUUUCAAUGGUGAAGAUCUUUUAUUACUUAGACCUCAACUUGACAAGUUUUUUAUGCUUGUGAGAAUGGACGAAGCUAUCUUCAACCUCAAAAGAACAUCUUGUAUAACUCAGAAGUUAGUUGAAACUAGAAGUUCUUGUUAUUUUCCAUUGGUUUAUAGGCUGAUCACCUUGGUUUUGAUAUUAUCUGUGUCAACUGCAAGUGUUGAAAGGGUAUCCUCUGCUAUGAAUCUAAUCAAGAAUUACCUGCGCAACAAAAUGGGAGAUAAAUUAUUGAAUGACAAUUUGGUGGUUUACAUGGAGAAAGAUACUGUUAUAAAAUUUAAGAAAUAUUGCAAAGUUUUCAAAAUAUGAGACCCCGUAGAAUUUAGUUGUCUAAGUUUACAAUUAUAGAGUAAGGUUGUAUUAUAUAUUUUUUUAGUGUUUUGGGUUGUAUUGAACUAUAUUUUCAUAUGUAUAUAAUGUUUACGUUUUAGUGCAUUUAAAUAUAUAUUGAAUAAGUUUUAAUAUUAUUUAAUCAAAUUUUAAUAAAUGAUCGACCGUCGUCGGAUCGGGCUUUUAUGAUCGUUGACUGUCGACAAUUAACGGUCAAAGUCAACCUCCGCCCUAGCUGAACGUUCAUGCUAAAUUUGCUCUUGCUCGCCGCUGUCGCCACCACCAUAUGUAACAUAUAGCAUUUGUUUGAUUUUGAUUAUUUUGAGAAUUGAUUAUUUGAAAACUAUUUUUUUGAUUAAUGCAUGGGUGAAAAUGAAACAUAAGUGAUUCUCGAAGAAUCAAAAUCAAAAAAGAGUUUAGUGUUACACAACCAUUACCGUUGACCCAACAAAUUGUAGCAUUUAUUAUUACGUAGUUGGCAAGCCUAAUGCUUACGACAUUCAUUAUUCCACUACAACCACAAAACCAUCACCCUUGUAACAUUUAUAGUGUUGCAACUGUCGUUACCAUUGUCGCCAUACACAAUUGCCCAUUACCAGCACCAACAUUUACCGGCAUAACACGUACCAUUGCCACAUUCAUUCACCAACACUACCAUGCAAGCCACAAUAACUGUGAAACUUCUAUCAUCUCACAAAAAUAAAAAUAAACCAAUCUGACCACAACAACGAAAAUCAAAUGAAAAAAUAAAACCAAAAUCAAUGAAAAUGGGAUCCAAAACACACAUUUAUUGUUAAAUUCCUUGUUAUUGAAUUUAACGCCCAACAAAAAUCUUGUUUGGCGAAAAAUGAUCGUGGUAGCAGAUGAACGUGCUACUAACAUUAGGUUUUUGUGGGUGAAAUUUCCACUACCCAAAACCCUAAUUUGGGCCUAAAGCCCAAUUGAGCUAAGCUUUGACUUAAACAUAUAAGGGAAAAUUUCAUAUACAAUAGAUUAAGUAAAAAAAAAAAAAAAAGAAUCAUAUUUCACCAAUCAGAUAUUGGCCUAGAAAUUAAUUUAUUUAAAAAUGGAAAACAAUCCUGCACAAUUAGCUUAAGUUACCGUAACCAGCAGGAUUGUAAAAAAAAAAAAAAAAAAAAAAUCAUCUCUCCAACUGAUUUCAGAAGCCACAGGAUUUGAAAAUACGUCCAAUUUACUGCCAACUCUUACGAAAGUGAUGGUAAAAGCAAAUUCUAGUCACAAAUUACAGUCUCUGGGUCGCAUUACGUCAGAUUAAAACAUGAGUCUCUCAAACAGUCCCUGAUAUGUUACUUCAACCUAUAAUUCAGAAAGUUUACAUUUAUAUGUGUGUAAUUACGAUUUAUUGAUUGUAAUUUGUUGUUUAUUCAUACUACACAAGCGUCGAUCGACGAAAAUAUGGUUUGUGUGGAAAUUGCGAUCGUGAAUAUCGUACAGUGCUAUUCAAAAGUGUUGUGACCGUUACAAAAAACAUGUGAUAGUCUAUUCAUAGGAUGUGACCUCAUGCAGUCAAUACCGCGUGGGUGUUUGUGUCUCGAAAUGUGUGACGUGUGACAUACUGCAUCUGUGACAUGUGAUAUUAAUUCUCUUGUUCGAAUCUAAUCAUAUGCGAUCUACACGUAUUUACCGUGACUGAUUAUUGCAUGUAAUUGUGAUUUAAUACGCACAUGCGACUUGCAUAUAUUCAAUAUGUGACCAUGAUAUUCAAGAUACGACAUGCGUUUAUUGUGACCUAUGAUUAUUUAACAGAAUUGUGACCCACAUGCAAUUAGUUGUGACCAAUAUACGAAGACUUGUGGCCACUCUUCAACGGUAUGUGACCAAUAUGCAAUGACGUGUAACAAAUAUGCAAUGACCUAUGACCACUCGCAAAAAAUCUGAAAAAUAAAAACAUGUGACUUGCAUGUAUUCAAUAUGUGACAAUGAUACUCGAGAUUCAACACGUAUUUGUUGUGACUUGAGAUCAUUUAACAGAAUUUUGACCCAUAUGCAAAUAGCUGUGACUGUAAUUGGAUGUUUGACUGAUUAUGUUUUUGUUCAUUUUGCAGAAAUGGGGUUCAUUCACGUAUGUUUGUUGAAUGAUCACAAAUGUCGCUAGUGUUGAUUCAUCGUAGUUGUGGGUCUUUGAGGCUUGACGACACAGUUAUGAAAGAGUUUAGCUUCAACCUUGCAAAAGUUGCUGUGACAAUGAAGUAUGUCUUGAAUAGUGAUCUGCCUCUAAUAACAGUCAAGAGUGAUGAUAAUGUGUUGUCGUACAUGGUUUUGAAGGAUAUGAAUCAUGACCCUACCAAAUAUCCAAUUCACAUCAAGGUCACAACUGCAAAUAGUGAAAAAUAGCCUAUUGCGCUAUCAGUUGAUAUUCAAUCGAAUGAACAUGGAUUUUCAUUAACAGAUAUGUCAUCAGAUAUAUUUGGAUCAAUAGUGGAUCUAUUUAGUGACAAGUUUGAACAUGAGGUCACAGUUGUGGCAGUGGCAGAUGCUAGGGAGAUAGAGGAAUGAAGAGUUUUUCGUAACAAGGAGAUUAUGAAAUUGAGCUUGUCGUUUUAUGCAAUCCAAAAUAUGUUUGAGUACGUGAUUGUUUGAUCCGAAAAACAAAAGACUAUCUUGUGAAAUGUUCACGUGAUGAGUGUAAUUGGACAUGCAGAGCAUCGAAGUUAGCCA